rnacentral:lncRNA from 1 species
UUAACCAUCACAAAAACUAUUAGAAAAUAUUGUGGUAUCUAAUUCUUAACACAACCCACUUAUACCAACACGCCUCAACCACUUUAACUCCAACUCUCAUACAUGCAAGCCACCCAACAACAUCAACAACAACAAUUUAACCCCUGAUUUCUAAAACAUCGGUCAUAUACCAACCCCAUAAUUCAUACUUAUACAUCCAACCAAGUUAAACCAACUACUUAACUGAGCUACAACUUCCAAGUACCUCAACAAAAAAUUCGUUUUUAUCCAUUAUAACCAUUCACUCAAUCUAUACCACCAAACUUCAACUAUCAAACAACAACAAAUCCAUCUCUACAAACAAACUUGUACUACCCACGAUUGAAACAUUAAAUCCACCAACAACACAACUACAAUACCAAUUAACUCUAAAUAAAAAAGUCAGAAUUUUAUGGAGUUUAU